CAACACACUAUGCAGUAAGCACAUGACAGAGGUCUCUGUCACUGCGUGAUGAAACUCGCAAUGCUGCUUGCAGGCUGUUGACAGGAAGUGAUAAGUUGCCGUGUGGCGCGGCGCUCCGCCAGCUGCUGCGCCGGGGUUAGCGGCGCUCAGCAGAGCUAUCAGCUGACACGGCGCGCCGUGCUCGAUCGCCACGGCGCAUGUGCCGCUGCGCGACGCGCCGGGCGCCGACGGCCGUCGUCUGGCAGCAACAGCGCUGCCAGUGACUCGCUCUGCUGCUGCAGAAACUGGACAAGGAUCGUAGAAUCGUGGCGUUCCAUCC